rnacentral:snoRNA from 1 species
UGAUUGCUGUGAUGACUCCUAUUAGGACGGUAUCUGAAGGGGAGGACUUUAAGUGCUCCUCAUCUGAUUAUACCAAAUUGAAUAUGGUUUCUGAGCAAAAC